UACGAAGGACCCGAGCGUUAUCCGGAUUUACUGGGUUUAAAGGGUGCGUAGGUGGACCUAUAAGUCAGUGGUGAAAGCCUCCCGCUUAACGGGAGAACUGCCAUUGAUACUGUUGGUCUUGAGUAUAGUUGAGGUAGGCGGAAUAUGUCAUGUAGUGGUGAAAUACUUAGAUAUGACAUAGAACACCGAUUGCGAAGGCAGCUUGCUAAGCUAUAACUGACACUGAUGCACGAAAGCGUGGGGAGCAAACAGG
rnacentral:rRNA from 1 species